GGUUAAGCGACUAAGCGUACACGGUGGAUGCCCUGGCAGUCAGAGGCGAUGAAGGACGUGCUAAUCUGCGAUAAGCGUCGGUAAGGUGAUAUGAACCGUUAUAACCGGCGAUUUCCGAAUGGGGAAACCCAGUGUGUUUCGACACACUAUCAUUAACUGAAUCCAUAGGUUAAUGAGGCGAACCGGGGGAACUGAAACAUCUAAGUACCCCGAGGAAAAGAAAUCAACCGAGAUUCCCCCAGUAGCGGCGAGCGAACGGGGAGCAGCCCAGAGCCUGAAUCAGUGUGUGUGUUAGUGGAAGCGUCUGGAAAGGCGCGCGAUACAGGGUGACAGCCCCGUACACAAAAAUGCACAUACUGUGAGCUCGAUGAGUAGGGCGGGACACGUGGUAUCCUGUCUGAAUAUGGGGGACCAUCCUCCAAGGCUAAAUACUCCUGACUGACCGAUAGUGAACCAGUACCGUGAGGGAAAGGCGAAAAGAACCCCGGCGAGGGGAGUGAAAAAGAACCUGAAACCGUGUACGUACAAGCAGUGGGAGCACGCUUAGGCGUGUGACUGCGUACCUUUUGUAUAAUGGGUCAGCGACUUAUAUUCUGUAGCAAGGUUAACCGAAUAGGGGAGCCGAAGGGAAACCGAGUCUUAACUGGGCGUUAAGUUGCAGGGUAUAGACCCGAAACCCGGUGAUCUAGCCAUGGGCAGGUUGAAGGUUGGGUAACACUAACUGGAGGACCGAACCGACUAAUGUUGAAAAAUUAGCGGAUGACUUGUGGCUGGGGGUGAAAGGCCAAUCAAACCGGGAGAUAGCUGGUUCUCCCCGAAAGCUAUUUAGGUAGCGCCUCGUGAAUUCAUCUCCGGGGGUAGAGCACUGUUUCGGCAAGGGGGUCAUCCCGACUUACCAACCCGAUGCAAACUGCGAAUACCGGAGAAUGUUAUCACGGGAGACACACGGCGGGUGCUAACGUCCGUCGUGAAGAGGGAAACAACCCAGACCGCCAGCUAAGGUCCCAAAGUCAUGGUUAAGUGGGAAACGAUGUGGGAAGGCCCAGACAGCCAGGAUGUUGGCUUAGAAGCAGCCAUCAUUUAAAGAAAGCGUAAUAGCUCACUGGUCGAGUCGGCCUGCGCGGAAGAUGUAACGGGGCUAAACCAUGCACCGAAGCUGCGGCAGCGACGCUUAUGCGUUGUUGGGUAGGGGAGCGUUCUGUAAGCCUGUGAAGGUGUGCUGUGAGGCAUGCUGGAGGUAUCAGAAGUGCGAAUGCUGACAUAAGUAACGAUAAAGCGGGUGAAAAGCCCGCUCGCCGGAAGACCAAGGGUUCCUGUCCAACGUUAAUCGGGGCAGGGUGAGUCGACCCCUAAGGCGAGGCCGAAAGGCGUAGUCGAUGGGAAACAGGUUAAUAUUCCUGUACUUGGUGUUACUGCGAAGGGGGGACGGAGAAGGCUAUGUUGGCCGGGCGACGGUUGUCCCGGUUUAAGCGUGUAGGCUGGUUUUCCAGGCAAAUCCGGAAAAUCAAGGCUGAGGCGUGAUGACGAGGCACUACGGUGCUGAAGCAACAAAUGCCCUGCUUCCAGGAAAAGCCUCUAAGCAUCAGGUAACAUCAAAUCGUACCCCAAACCGACACAGGUGGUCAGGUAGAGAAUACCAAGGCGCUUGAGAGAACUCGGGUGAAGGAACUAGGCAAAAUGGUGCCGUAACUUCGGGAGAAGGCACGCUGAUAUGUAGGUGAAGUCCCUCGCGGAUGGAGCUGAAAUCAGUCGAAGAUACCAGCUGGCUGCAACUGUUUAUUAAAAACACAGCACUGUGCAAACACGAAAGUGGACGUAUACGGUGUGACGCCUGCCCGGUGCCGGAAGGUUAAUUGAUGGGGUCAGCGCAAGCGAAGCUCUUGAUCGAAGCCCCGGUAAACGGCGGCCGUAACUAUAACGGUCCUAAGGUAGCGAAAUUCCUUGUCGGGUAAGUUCCGACCUGCACGAAUGGCGUAAUGAUGGCCAGGCUGUCUCCACCCGAGACUCAGUGAAAUUGAACUCGCUGUGAAGAUGCAGUGUACCCGCGGCAAGACGGAAAGACCCCGUGAACCUUUACUAUAGCUUGACACUGAACAUUGAGCCUUGAUGUGUAGGAUAGGUGGGAGGCUUAGAAGUGUGGACGCCAGUCUGCAUGGAGCCGACCUUGAAAUACCACCCUUUAAUGUUUGAUGUUCUAACGUUGACCCGUAAUCCGGGUUGCGGACAGUGUCUGGUGGGUAGUUUGACUGGGGCGGUCUCCUCCUAAAGAGUAACGGAGGAGCACGAAGGUUGGCUAAUCCUGGUCGGACAUCAGGAGGUUAGUGCAAUGGCAUAAGCCAGCUUGACUGCGAGCGUGACGGCGCGAGCAGGUGCGAAAGCAGGUCAUAGUGAUCCGGUGGUUCUGAAUGGAAGGGCCAUCGCUCAACGGAUAAAAGGUACUCCGGGGAUAACAGGCUGAUACCGCCCAAGAGUUCAUAUCGACGGCGGUGUUUGGCACCUCGAUGUCGGCUCAUCACAUCCUGGGGCUGAAGUAGGUCCCAAGGGUAUGGCUGUUCGCCAUUUAAAGUGGUACGCGAGCUGGGUUUAGAACGUCGUGAGACAGUUCGGUCCCUAUCUGCCGUGGGCGCUGGAGAACUGAGGGGGGCUGCUCCUAGUACGAGAGGACCGGAGUGGACGCAUCACUGGUGUUCGGGUUGUCAUGCCAAUGGCACUGCCCGGUAGCUAAAUGCGGAAGAGAUAAGUGCUGAAAGCAUCUAAGCACGAAACUUGCCCCGAGAUGAGUUCUCCCUGACUCCUUGAGAGUCCUGAAGGAACGUUGAAGACGACGACGUUGAUAGGCCGGGUGUGUAAGCGCAGCGAUGCGUUGAGCUAACCGGUACUAAUGAACCGUGAGGCUUAACCUU
rnacentral:rRNA from 1 species